UCGUAACAAGGUCUCCGUUGGUGAACCAGCGGAGGGAUCAUUACCGAGUUUACAACUCCCAAACCCAAUGUGAACGUUACCAAACUGUUGCCUCGGCGGGAUCUCUGCCCCGGGUGCGUCGCAGCCCCGGACCAAGGCGCCCGCCGGAGGACCAACCAAAACUCUUAUUGUAUACCCCCUCGCGGGUUUUUUACUAUCUGAGCCAUCUCGGCGCCCCUCGUGGGCGUUUCGAAAAUGAAUCAAAACUUUCAACAACGGAUCUCUUGGUUCUGGCAUCGAUGAAGAACGCAGCGAAAUGCGAUAAGUAAUGUGAAUUGCAGAAUUCAGUGAAUCAUCGAAUCUUUGAACGCACAUUGCGCCCGCCAGUAUUCUGGCGGGCAUGCCUGUCCGAGCGUCAUUUCAACCCUCGAACCCCUCCGGGGGGUCGGCGUUGGGGAUCGGCCCUUUACGGGGCCGGCCCCGAAAUACAGUGGCGGUCUCGCCGCAGCCUCUCCUGCGCAGUAGUUUGCACACUCGCAUCGGGAGCGCGGCGCGUCCACAGCCGUUAAACACCCCAAACUUCUGAAAUGUUGACCU
rnacentral:rRNA from 1 species